rnacentral:rRNA from 1 species
CAAGUAAUUAAGUGCAUGUGGUGGAUGCCUUGGCAGUCAGAGGCGAUGAAAGACGUGAUAGCCUGCGAAAAGCUCCGGGGAGGCGGCAAAUAUCCUUUGAUCCGGAGAUGUCUGAAUGGGGGAACCCACCUACUUUAAGGUAGGUAUUGCAACAUGAAUACAUAGUGUUGCAAGGCGAACGAGGGGAAGUGAAACAUCUCAGUACCCUUAGGAAAAGAAAUCAAUUGAGAUUCCCUCAGUAGCGGCGAGCGAACGGGGAUCAGCCCAUUAAGUUAUGUGUGUUUUAGUGGAACGCUCUGGGAAGUGCGAACGUAGAGGGUGAUAUUCCCGUACACGAAAGGGCACACAUAAUGAUGACGAGUAGGGCGAGGCACGUGAAACCUUGUCUGAAUAUGGGGGACCAUCCUCCAAGGCUAAAUACUCCUGACUGACCGAUAGUGAACCAGUACCGUGAGGGAAAGGCGAAAAGAACCCCUGUGAGGGGAGUGAAAUAGAUCCUGAAACCGCAUGCAUACAAGCAGUGGGAGCACCUUCGUGGUGUGACUGCGUACCUUUUGUAUAAUGGGUCAGCGACUUAUAUUCAGUAGCGAGGUUAACCGUAUAGGGGAGCCGUAGAGAAAUCGAGUCUUAAUAGGGCGUUUAGUUGCUGGGUAUAGACCCGAAACCAGGCGAUCUAUCCAUGAGCAGGUUGAAGGUUGGGUAACACUAACUGGAGGACCGAACCCACUGUCGUUGAAAAGCCAGGGGAUGACUUGUGGAUAGGGGUGAAAGGCUAAUCAAGCCUGGUGAUAGCUGGUUCUCCCCGAAAGCUAUUUAGGUAGCGCCUCGGACGAAUACCAUAGGGGGUAGAGCACUGUUUCGGCUAGGGGGUCAUCCCGACUUACCAAACCGAUGCAAACUCCGAAUACCUAUGAGUACUAUCCGGGAGACAGACUGCGGGUGCUAACGUCCGUAGUCAAGAGGAAAACAAUCCAGACCGCCAGCUAAGGCCCAAAAUCAUAGUUAAGUGGGAAACGAUGUGGGAAGGCAUAGACAGCUAGGAGGUUGGCUUAGAAGCAGCCACCCUUUAAAGAAAGCGUAAUAGCUCACUAGUCGAGUCGGCCUGCGCGGAAGAUGUAACGGGGCUAAAACUAUGUGCCGAAGCUGCGGAUGUAUACUUUGUAUACGUGGUAGGGGAGCGUUCUGUAAGCCGAUGAAGGUGUGUUGAGAAGCAUGCUGGAGGUAUCAGAAGUGCGAAUGCUGACGUGAGUAACGACAAAACGGGUGAAAAACCCGUUCGCCGAAAGACCAAGGGUUCCAGUCCAACGUUAAUCGGGGCUGGGUGAGUCGACCCCUAAGGCGAGGCCGAAAGGCGUAGUCGAUGGGAAAAUGGUUAAUAUUCCAUUACUUCUGUGUAAUGCGAUGAGAGGACGGAGAAGGCUAAAUCAGCCUGGCGUUGGUUGUCCAGGUGAAAGGAUGUAGGCAUGUAUCUUAGGCAAAUCCGGGGUACUCUAUGCUGAGAUCUGAUAGCAAGCUGUACUUGUACAGCGAAGUGGUUGAUGCCAUGCUUCCAGGAAAAGUCUCUAAGCUUCAGUUACACAGGAAUCGUACCCGAAACCGACACAGGUGGUCAGGUCGAGUAGACCAAGGCGCUUGAGAGAACUCUGCUGAAGGAACUAGGCAAAAUGGUACCGUAACUUCGGGAGAAGGUACGCUGUUGUUGGUGAUGGAACUCGCUUCCUGAGCUGACGACAGCCGCAGAAACCAGGCCGCUGCAACUGUUUAUUAAAAACAUAGCACUCUGCAAACACGAAAGUGGACGUAUAGGGUGUGAUGCCUGCCCGGUGCUGGAAGGUUAAUUGAUGGGGUUAGCGUAAGCGAAGCUCUUGAUCGAAGCCCCAGUAAACGGCGGCCGUAACUAUAACGGUCCUAAGGUAGCGAAAUUCCUUGUCGGGUAAGUUCCGACCUGCACGAAUGGCAUAAUGAUGGCGGCGCUGUCUCCAGCAGAGGCUCAGUGAAAUCGAAAUCGCUGUGAAGAUGCAGUGUACCCGCGGCUAGACGGAAAGACCCCGUGAACCUUUACUGCAGCUUGACACUGAACUUUGACCUUACUUGUGUAGGAUAGGUGGGAGGCUUUGAAGCUGGAACGCUAGUUCCAGUGGAGCCGUCCUUGAAAUACCACCCUGGUAAUGUUGAGGUUCUAACUCUGUCCCGUGAUCCGGGACGAGGACCGUGUCUGGUGGGUAGUUUGACUGGGGCGGUCUCCUCCUAAAGAGUAACGGAGGAGUACGAAGGUGCGCUCAGCGUGGUCGGAAAUCACGCGUAGAGUAUAAAGGCAAAAGCGCGCUUAACUGCGAGACCCACAAGUCGAGCAGGUACGAAAGUAGGUCUUAGUGAUCCGGUGGUUCUGUAUGGAAGGGCCAUCGCUCAACGGAUAAAAGGUACUCUGGGGAUAACAGGCUGAUACCGCCCAAGAGUUCAUAUCGACGGCGGUGUUUGGCACCUCGAUGUCGGCUCAUCUCAUCCUGGGGCUGAAGCAGGUCCCAAGGGUAUGGCUGUUCGCCAUUUAAAGAGGUACGCGAGCUGGGUUUAGAACGUCGUGAGACAGUUCGGUCCCUAUCUACCGUGGGCGCUGGAAAUUUGAGAGGAUCUGCUCCUAGUACGAGAGGACCAGAGUGGACGAACCUCUGGUGUACCGGUUGUGACGCCAGUCGCAUCGCCGGGUAGCUAUGUUCGGAAGGGAUAACCGCUGAAAGCAUCUAAGCGGGAAGCCUACCUCAAGAUAAGAUUUCCCUAGGACUUUAUGUCCUCUAAAGAGCCGUUCGAGACUAGGACGUUGAUAGGUUGGAUGUGGAAGCAUAGUGAUAUGUGAAGCUGACCAAUACUAAUUGCUCGUGAGGCUUGACUA